rnacentral:rRNA from 1 species
GAUGAACGCUGGCGGCGUGCUUAACACAUGCAAGUCGAACGGUGAACGAGGGAGCUUGCUCCCUCCGGAUCAGUGGCGAACGGGUGAGUAACACGUGAGCAAUCUGCCCUGGACUCUGGGAUAAGCGUUGGAAACGACGUCUAAUACCGGAUACGAGGCGUGGGGGCAUCCCCAACGCCUGGAAAGAACUUCGGUCCAGGAUGAGCUCGCGGCCUAUCAGGUAGUUGGUGAGGUAACGGCUCACCAAGCCUACGACGGGUAGCCGGCCUGAGAGGGGGACCGGCCACACUGGGACUGAGACACGGCCCAGACUCCUACGGGAGGCAGCAGUGGGGAAUAUUGCACAAUGGGCGCAAGCCUGAUGCAGCAACGCCGCGUGAGGGACGACGGCCUUCGGGUUGUAAACCUCUUUUAGCAGGGAAGAAGCGAAAGUGACGGUACCUGCAGAAGAAGCACCGGCUAACUACGUGCCAGCAGCCGCGGUAAUAC